CCAUAAUACAUAUUUAUGACAAUAUAUUUAAUAAAUAAACAAAAGUUUUCUAUUCCUUUAAAAAAAACUCACCAUAGACAGCUUGCCACCCAAAGUCUUGGAUGUGUCAUAAGAAGUAGAUAAGGAAUGAGGAUCUUUUUUGAAUGACGAACUUACUUUUGGAUGCACAACCAGUCCUGGAAAGUGUCUACACUCACAUCUCAGGCUCUGUCCCUAAUUCACACAAGAUGAAGUUGAUAUUUCUCAACUAAAUUCAAGGGUUAACAAUAUAGUUGUAUCAGGUAACAUUUUAUAAGUUUGGUAGAUAUUGUGGAUUUUAAAAAGUUGUGGCCAGGGGAACUGUAUCCUACUUAUGUCAUAGCAUGGAAUUCAUCUUGAAUGGAUCAAUCCCAUGAUGGGGGAGGUACCAUGCCUACUUUCUGGUGUGGGAUUGGUCUUGAAUUGAACCAAUCCGGUGCUAGGGAGGGACCACACCGCCCCCUACUUCUGGGCGCGGUGUAGGAGGGAACUUCCGGAGAACUUUGAAUCUGAGGAGAUUCUGAGUAGCUGGAUUUUUAAAAUUAAGUUCAGCUCUGGAACUCUGUUCUUCAUUUUUUUAAGUGGAGGCUGAUGAAGAAUGUGCUGACUGGACCUGAGACUCCGUUUCCUGAAACACAAUGUCAAGGACGGUCCAAGCGGAUCCUAGAGGCGUUCCUCCACUCUGCAGGGUUUAUCAUGCCAACUAGAUGCCAAGCUCCCCCCCCCCUUCCUUCUUUUCCUGAAGGUGAAGAGUAUUUCGCCUCUUGGCUUCCUGUCCUCUCAAGAUGCUCGCAUAGCAUCAGUAUGCAGCUUUAAAUUCUAUAAUUAAUACACGAUUGGUAUUUGAAGCACCUGCGACUGCACAAACAUGUCACCUUGCCCAGGUGGUGCUACUAACACAUGCCAGGAGCAGAGGCAGCAGCCCCUUUUCACAUCCUUCCAGAUGAGAUGCAAAAGAGAAAACAGAGGUCAUGGGAUAAAUAUCACACAAGUCAAUUGCUACCAAGUUCAUAGACACUAUGCUAUAUGCUUAACAAUUAUUUUCUCAUUUGAUCCUCACAAUAACUCUGCGAGACAUGAACUCUGAACAGGGAUCUCAAGAAAUGAAUGUUCCCACUCUUAGGACUCCCCAUCUGAGACUGAGUUGGAGAGUUCCAAGUUUCCUGAGUCAAAUCUAAGUGUUCAAAAGAACUUUCUGCUCUGACAGGACUUCUUCCAGGAGAAGCAGCAUUACCAUUACAGCUGAAAUGACUAAAAAGUCCCCAAGUCAUGCCUGGCUGGCCAGAAGGUGGACUUUGUAACUUUCUCUGGCAAACAGAUAGAAAAGAAAUGUGAAACAAAUAGCUUUAACACUCUCACAGAGUUCCUUUGUUUUUUAGGAAGAUUAAAAUGAAGGCAAUGUGUUAUU
rnacentral:lncRNA from 1 species